UGAACCGGUUGGAUUGUGAAGAUGCUUUAGACGCAGACACACCCAGCCUAAGGCCUGCUGGUCUGGUAUAUACAGUAAGACACACACAACAGAGACAUAGAGCCAUCAACAGUGACUUCCCUGUUAAAGACCCACGUACAGACUGCUGCUGCUGAGUUUGACAGCAGAGAAAAUGAAAGCUCGGAUUGUGUUCCUGCUCUUUGCUCUUGUGGCUGUGCUUCAAGUGAUGCCAACUGUUCCCAAUGAGGACCGUAAAGUUAUUCCAGAGGAAGUGGCCAUACAGGAAAUCAUGGAGACUGAUUUGACUGACUUGAGGCCAGACACAACAACAAUGAAAUCUCCGAGGAUAUGAAAGGAAAGAUGGCCAUCCAUAAGAGGGAAGGGGAACAAACUGUUUCAGCCAAAAGAUGAUGAAUAAAUAAACACUACAAUAAAAAAACAUGUCUUUGUG